rnacentral:misc_RNA from 1 species
CGCACAUUGCGCCCCUCGGUAUUCCGGGGGGCAUGCCUGUUCGAGCGUCAUUACACCCCUCAAGCGUAGCUUGGUAUUGGACGUUCGCGGGCCCUCUUUAAGGGGGCCUGCGCGCCCGAAAAGCAGUGGCGGUUCCCCAGGGAUUUCGCGCGUAGUAAAUAUUCUCCCGCGUUGGAAAGAACCGAUGGGCCCUGCCAAAACCCCCCAUAUAUCUCCAUGAUUGACCUCGGAUCAGGUAGGGAUACCCGCUGAACUUAA